UACAGAGGUCUCAAGCGUUGUUCGGAUUCAUUGGGCGUAAAGGGUGCGUAGGCGGCGCGGUAAGUCGGGUGUGAAAUCUUGGAGCUUAACUCCGAAACUGCAUUCGAUACUGCCGUGCUUGAGGACUGGAGAGGAGACUGGAAUUUACGGUGUAGCGGUGAAAUGCGUAGAUAUCGUAAGGAAGACCAGUGGCGAAGGCGGGUCUCUGGACAGUUCCUGACGCUGAGACACGAAGGCCAGGGGAGCAAAACGGG
rnacentral:rRNA from 1 species